GAUGAAGAACGUAGCGAAAUGCGAUACUUGGUGUGAAUUGCAGAAUCCCGUGAACCAUCGAGUCUUUGAACGCAAGUUGUGCCCGAAGCCACUAGGCCGAGGGCACGCCUGCCUGGGUGUCACACGUCGUUGCCCCCCCCCCAUCUACUCCUUCGGGAUUGCGGGGGGCGGAUGAUGGCCUCCCGUGCGCCUAGCCGCGCGGUUGGCAUAAAUACCAAGUCCUCGGCGACGCACGCCACGACAAUCGGUGGUUGCGAAACCUCGGUUGCCCGUCGUGUGCGUUCGUCGCGCAUCGAGGGCUCGAAAAAAUGCUCGGCUCCGGCUCGGCUUUCAACGCGACCCCAGGUCAGGCGGGGUUACCCGCUGAAUUUAAGCAUAUCAAUAAGCGGAGGA
rnacentral:misc_RNA from 1 species